rnacentral:rRNA from 1 species
GAUGAACGCUGGCGGCGUGCCUAAUACAUGCAAGUCGAGCGAAUGGAUUAAGAGCUUGCUCUUAUGAAGUUAGCGGCGGACGGGUGAGUAACACGUGGGUAACCUGCCCAUAAGACUGGGAUAACUCCGGGAAACCGGGGCUAAUACCGGAUAACAUUUUGAACCGCAUGGUUCGAAAUUGAAAGGCGGCUUCGGCUGUCACUUAUGGAUGGACCCGCGUCGCAUUAGCUAGUUGGUGAGGUAACGGCUCACCAAGGCGACGAUGCGUAGCCGAGCUGAGAGGGUGCUCGGCCACGCUGGGACUGAGACAGGGCACAAGCUCCCACGGGAUGCAGCAGAGGGGGAUCUCCCGAAAUGGUAGAAUGUCGAAUCGGGAAACGCCGCGUGAGGGAUGAAUGCUUUCGGGUCGUAAAACUCUGUUGUUAGGGAAGAACAAGUGGUAGUUGAAUAAGCUGGCACCUUGACGGUACCUAACCAGAAAGCCACGGCUAACUACGUGCCAGCCGCCGCCGUAA